UCAACAUGAGAGUUUGAUCCUGGCUCAGAACGAACGCUGGCGGCAGGCUUAACACAUGCAAGUCGAGCGCCCCGCAAGGGGAGCGGCAGACGGGUGAGUAACGCGUGGGAAUCUACCCAGCUCUACGGAAUAA
rnacentral:rRNA from 1 species